ACUCUGAUGGUGCACGCCGCGUGGAGGAUGACGGUCCUAGGAUUGUAAACUCCUGUCAUUGGGGAGUAAGACUUAAGCGUUAAGAGCGUUUAAGUUUGAUAGUACCCAAAGAGGAAGGGACGGCUAACUUCGUGCCAGCAGCCGCGGUAAUACGAAGGUCCCAAGCGUUGUUCGGAAUCGCUGGGCGUAAAGCGUGUGUAGGCUGCGCGGAAAGUCAAAUGUGAAAGCCCGGGGCUCAACCUCGGAACUGCAUUCGAUACUCCCGUGCUAGAGUAAUGGAGAGGUAAGUGGAAUUCCUGGUGUAGCAGUGAAAUGCGUGGAUAUCAGGAGGAACAUCAAUGGCGAAGGCAACUUACUGGACAUUUACUGACGCUCAGACACGAAGGCUAGGGUAGCGAAAGGGAUUAGAUACCCCUGUAGUCCUAGCAUUAAACGGUGCUCGCUUGGUGUGGGAGGAUUCGACCCCUUCUGUGCCGGAGCUAACGCGUUAAGCGAGCCGCCUGGGAAGUACGGUCGCAAGACUAAAACUCAUAGAAAUUGACGGGGACCCGCACAGCGGUGGAGUAUGUGG
rnacentral:rRNA from 1 species